CAAUCAGGAAGUGCAUUUUAACCUAUUAUUUUAGUUCUUCCUGGGGGCAGUGCCAGGAGGAGCCCCCCCCCCCGAAUCAGAUUGGCUGGAGCAGCAUUACUAGUAACUGUUCCAGCCAGUAAGACCAAAAGAGAGAGUUGCAGGCAGGGGAGGAGGUGAUGGAGGAAGCUCCCUACACUGCAGGUUUUCCUGGCUACUGGAGCCACGGGUGAAAUACAAGCUUGUGUUUAUCCUCACAACAACCCUGUGAGGAAGUUAAGCUGAGAGAUGAGUGACCAGCACAGAGACACAAAGCUGCCUGCAACAUGUAACUAUCAACGGCUAGCAUCACGCAGACUGGAAGGUAACCAAUAGAAUGUGUGAGGAGAGAUUAGAAUGAAUUUUUGACGUCGGUUUUGCCUCAUAAAUGACAUCCUCUGCAGUUGUAAGUUGGCCAUUUGUCGCUCCCCCCGCCCUUUCAAAGGAAGCCUUGUCUUAUCUGAUGCUGAAACUCUUCCAUGCAGCUUUGAACACAGAACCAAGAGAGAGAGAAAUCAGUUGGAAAUUUGUUCAUGUCUACCUCUGUGCUUGACAUUUCUCCACCGAUAAGCUACAGCUAAAUAUUGACUUUUUGGUUAAGUUCAGAUUAGCUGUCUGGUCUAUGAGCAUUGAUCGUAACCCAUUAUCUUUCCCAUUUAGGGCCUCUGGGAUCUGCUGCCAAAAAAUGAGAGACAAAGUAAUGGCAGGAACAAAAUUAACACACAGUAAAGAGAUCACUUUGGUGGGCAACGCCACAAUUACUGUUGACCUUUGAUUUUAUUUCCUGUCAAUCUUGCAUUCCGAUAAAGUAAUUCAUAUUUGCCUUGGGGUUCCUGUUUGUUUGUUUGUUUGUUUGUUUAAGGAAAAGCAUUUUUCUUCUGUCUAUAUGACAACAAAGAUAGAUUCAAAACCUCUUAAUUUUUUUCUCUAUUAAUAAAUAGACAUUUUACAAUAAGUAAGAAGCAUUCAAGUGUCAUGUGCUUUGCUGAUCUCAGCUUCAGUUUGUAGCUUUUGUCUAACUUUAAUCCAUAAGACUUCAAUAUGUCAA